rnacentral:lncRNA from 1 species
UGGUUCUGAAAGGUUCAAAAUAUAGGACACUGAAUUUGUCUGCACUAGAAUGGUGACUGAUAUCAAACUGGAGAAAGGCUGGUGUUACGUCUCUUGCUCAAGGUGCACAAAGAAUCUCCAACGGACGGUGUCAUCCUUGCGUGACCUGCAGUUAGGGAUGUUAAGUCAUGGGUUAGAGCCCAACCCUCUCUAGUGUAAUAUAAGCUCAGCCCUAUUUUAACCCAGUCCUAUUUUAACCCUUCUUUGAUUAUAGGGUUAGGGUUGGUAGUAAGGUUAGCCCAAUUAAUUUUUAUGCAAUGUAAUAAUGUUUUGUAUAUCAAAUUUAAUCAAAGUUUGCAUGUUUUUAAAAACUUAAAAUAUGAUUAUAUAAAUGAAAAAAAGUCCUCAAAUUCAAAGUAUGAAAUUAGGAAAACCAAAGUUUACAUGUUUUUAUUCAUGAAGUGUAAAAAUCAAAGUUCCAACUUAACUUUAUAAAGUGUAAAAAUCAAAAACAAGAGAGAUGGCAGUCACUAGAAGUUCUAGUCUAGAACAAACAUGAGACAACUAAAGAUCGAUUUCAACAAACGAAAAGAACAUCCAAAAAAAAAGAUGAAACAAAUGUCAUGAGCUAAAGCAGUCACAAACUGAUAAACAAGCAUGUGAACUACAAGAGUAUGCAGUCUGCAAAAGAUCCUCAGUUCUUUAACUUACACGUAUGAUACAAAGAAAGAAAGGUACUAAACACAAUCAUUACAUGGCUAAUAAGAACAAACCCACAAAUCAUUACUUGGCACAAGUUUCAACGUUUACUCUCUGACUAAAUCCGACUAUGAAGGCAAUCAGAUACCUAAAGAAGAAUAAAACCAGUGAUCAGACACAAUUCAUAAAAGCUUUUUUUGUCCAAAACAAAGCUAAACAACUAAAACUCAAGUUACAGAAGUUACCAAAUGCUUGAUAUAACAGAGAAGCAAACCACAAAGAUAAUGAGCUAUAAGAGAACACAUUCAAGUUGCUAAAACAGAGUAUUUACAGUCAAUCAGGGAAAAAGCUUUGCAAUCACAAGUUCAAUCAAAGUUACAGACUGUUUCAAACAAGUGAUUAGUUGACUAACAGAAAGUUCACAAAGAGCUAAAACGUUCUUUCCAAAAAAGAGACAAUCUCAAUUCUACAACAAUCCAUCAGUUCAAAAAGCUUUAUCAUCUCGCCAUUAGCUUAAAAGAAUCACAGUAUCACAAGACAGCAAGAUACAGUUUACUAGUAGUCUAGUAUCAUAAAGAUCAUAACAUCAGUCUCAGAUUUUCAACAAACCCACAAACUCUAGAGAUCGAUUUCAACAAACCCAGAACAAAACUAGAAGAACGUACCUCACAUAAUGCUUAUUGGAGAAGACGGAUACAACCCCGACGACGCUCUUCGAAAUCGAUCUCUAGGGUUGGUGUGUUCGUUGAAAUCAAUCCAGGAGCAGCAGAACUUGAUGAGGACGUCGUGUUAUCGGAUUUGAAUUUGAGCAGCUUCGUUCAGAUUCUAGGGUUCACGUUGCGAUCCUCUUU